UUAGCUUGCUAAGUUUGAUGGCGACCGGCGCACGGGUGAGUAACACGUAUCCAACCUGCCGAUGACUCGGGGAUAGCCUUUCGAAAGAAAGAUUAAUACCCGAUGGCAUAGUUCUUCCGCAUGGUAGAACUAUUAAAGAAUUUCGGUCAUCGAUGGGGAUGCGUUCCAUUAGGUUGUUGGCGGGGUAACGGCCCACCAAGCCUUCGAUGGAUAGGGGUUCUGAGAGGAAGGUCCCCCACAUCGGAACUGAGACACGGUCCAAACUCCUACGGGAGGCAGCAGUGAGGAAUAUUGGUCAAUGGACGAGAGUCUGAACCAGCCAAGUAGCGUGAAGGAUGACUGCCCUAUGGGUUGUAAACUUCUUUUAUACGGGAAUAAAGUGAGGCACGUGUGCCUUUUUGUAUGUACCGUAUGAAUAAGGAUCGGCUAACUCCGUGCCAGCAGCCGCGGUAAUACGGAGGAUCCGAGCGUUAUCCGGAUUUAUUGGGUUUAAAGGGAGCGUAGGCGGACGCUUAAGUCAGUUGUGAAAGUUUGCGGCUCAACCGUAAAAUUGCAGUUGAUACUGGGUGUCUUGAGUACAGUAGAGGCAGGCGGAAUUCGUGGUGUAGCGGUGAAAUGCUUAGAUAUCACGAAGAACUCCGAUUGCGAAGGCAGCUUGCUGGACUGUAACUGACGCUGAUGCUCGAAAGUGUGGGUAUCAAACAGGAUUAGAUACCCUGGUAGUCCACACAGUAAACGAUGAAUACUCGCUGUUUGCGAUAUACAGUAAGCGGCCAAGCGAAAGCGUUAAGUAUUCCACCUGGGGAGUACGCCGGCAACGGUGAAACUCAAAGGAAUUGACGGGGGCCCGCACAAGCGGAGGAACAUGUGGUUUAAUUCGAUGAUACGCGAGGAACCUUACCCGG
rnacentral:rRNA from 1 species